rnacentral:rRNA from 1 species
UGCAAGUCGAGCGGAUGAAAGGAGCUUGCUCCUGGAUUCAGCGGCGGACGGGUGAGUAAUGCCUAGGAAUCUGCCUGGUAGUGGGGGACAACGUUUCGAAAGGAACGCUAAUACCGCAUACGUCCUACGGGAGAAAGCAGGGGACCUUCGGGCCUUGCGCUAUCAGAUGAGCCUAGGUCGGAUUAGCUAGUUGGUGAGGUAAUGGCUCACCAAGGCGACGAUCCGUAACUGGUCUGAGAGGAUGAUCAGUCACACUGGAACUGAGACACGGUCCAGACUCCUACGGGAGGCAGCAGUGGGGAAUAUUGGACAAUGGGCGAAAGCCUGAUCCAGCCAUGCCGCGUGUGUGAAGAAGGUCUUCGGAUUGUAAAGCACUUUAAGUUGGGAGGAAGGGUUGUAGAUUAAUACUCUGCAAUUUUGACGUUACCGACAGAAUAAGCACCGGCUAACUCUGUGCCAGCAGCCGCGGUAAUACAGAGGGUGCAAGCGUUAAUCGGAAUUACUGGGCGUAAAGCGCGCGUAGGUGGUUUGUUAAGUUGGAUGUGAAAUCCCCGGGCUCAACCUGGGAACUGCAUCCAAAACUGGCAAGCUAGAGUAUGGUAGAGGGUGGUGGAAUUUCCUGUGUAGCGGUGAAAUGCGUAGAUAUAGGAAGGAACACCAGUGGCGAAGGCGACCACCUGGACUGAUACUGACACUGAGGUGCGAAAGCGUGGGGAGCAAACAGGAUUAGAUACCCUGGUAGUCCACGCCGUAAACGAUGUCAACUAGCCGUUGGGAGCCUUGAGCUCUUAGUGGCGCAGCUAACGCAUUAAGUUGACCGCCUGGGGAGUACGGCCGCAAGGUUAAAACUCAAAUGAAUUGACGGGGGCCCGCACAAGCGGUGGGAGCAUGUGGUUUAAUUCGAAGCAACGCGAAAGAACCCUUACCAGGCCCUUGACAUCCCAAUGAACUUUCCCAGAGAUGGGAUUUGAUGCCCUUUCGGGAACAUUGAGACAGGUGCUGCAUGGCUGUCGUCAGCUC